GUCGAACGAGUUCUCGUUGAAUCUCGGUGCUUGCACCGAGAUUCAACAUGGAACGAGUGGCGGACGGGUGAGUAACACGUGGGUAACCUGCCCUUAAGUGGGGGAUAACAUUUGGAAACAGAUGCUAAUACCGCAUAGAUCCAAGAACCGCAUGGUUCUUGGCUGAAAGAUGGCGUAAGCUAUCGCUUUUGGAUGGACCCGCGGCGUAUUAGCUAGUUGGUGAGGUAAUGGCUCACCAAGGCGAUGAUACGUAGCCGAACUGAGAGGUUGAUCGGCCACAUUGGGACUGAGACACGGCCCAAACUCCUACGGGAGGCAGCAGUAGGGAAUCUUCCACAAUGGACGCAAGUCUGAUGGAGCAACGCCGCGUGAGUGAAGAAGGCUUUCGGGUCGUAAAACUCUGUUGUUGGAGAAGAAUGGUCGGCAGAGUAACUGUUGUCGGCGUGACGGUAUCCAACCAGAAAGCCACGGCUAACUACGUGCCAGCAGCCGCGGUAAUACGUAGGUGGCAAGCGUUAUCCGGAUUUAUUGGGCGUAAAGCGAGCGCAGGCGGUUUUUUAAGUCUGAUGUGAAAGCCCUCGGCUUAACCGAGGAAGCGCAUCGGAAACUGGGAAACUUGAGUGCAGAAGAGGACAGUGGAACUCCAUGUGUAGCGGUGAAAUGCGUAGAUAUAUGGAAGAACACCAGUGGCGAAGGCGGCUGUCUGGUCUGUAACUGACGCUGAGGCUCGAAAGCAUGGGUAGCGAACAGGAUUAGAUACCCUGGUAGUCCAU
rnacentral:rRNA from 1 species